rnacentral:rRNA from 1 species
GACGAACGCUGGCGGCGUGCUUAACACAUGCAAGUCGAACGGAAAGGCCCUGCUUUUGUGGGGUGCUCGAGUGGCGAACGGGUGAGUAACACGUGAGUAACCUGCCCUUGACUUUGGGAUAACUUCAGGACACUGGGGCUAAUACCGGAUAGGAGCUCCCGAUGCAUGGUGGGGGUUGGACAUUUUCGGCGGUUGGGGAUGGACCCACGGGUGAUCAGCUUGUUGGUGGGGUAGUGGCUUACCAAGGCUUUGACGGGUAGCCGGCCUGAGAGGGUGACCGGCCCCAUGGGGACUGAGAUACGGCCCAGACUCCUACGGGAGGCAGAAGUGGGGAAUAUUGCACAAUGGGCGGAAGCCUGAUGCAGCAACGCCGCGUGCGGGAUGACGGCCUUCGGGUUGUAACCCGCUUUCGCCUGCGACGAAGCGUGAGUGACGGUAAUGGGUAAAGAAGCACCGGCUAACUACGUG